AGAGAAAGCAGCCGAGGCGGGUGGAGGCUGAGCCCAGUGGCGACGUGGGGGCCUCGGGCGUGGGGGGCUGCGGAGGCGCCGGCGGAGACCGGAAAGAGGCGGGAGCAAGACGGUUUAAUGAGGGCUGGAGGACUCCUUGCAUGAAGCUCCAAGAGAGAAGAGGACGCGGCAUUGCAGGCACCUGAGAGAAAUCCUAGGGCUUGCUUCGUAGGGCCAUUUCUCCGGGUGGGGACGGAGGGAGCGGAGAAGAAAUAUUUACUGGCGGUCAGAUCCUUGAAACUCUUCAUAGCUGUGCAUUAUGUAAUCCAUGGCUGUUAUUUACCCAAACAAGAAAGUGGAGAGCCUCAAGAACUUAUAUAUACUACGAGGUUUUCAUUUUCAUUUUUUAUAGAAUUGGAAAAUAUUUGUCUCAACAAAUGAAUUCCACACUUGAACUCUGCUGCAUUCCUGUGCCACCUCCUCCAUUAGAACACUGAUCUUAGAACAGAGAGAGAAAAGAGGAAUAGAAGAUAGAAGAAGAUGCUGGGAUCUGAACGUGCUGUUGUGGAAGAAUGGUUAUCAGAAUUCAAGGCAUUACCUGACACUCAGAUCACCAAUUAUGCAGCAACUUUACACCGGAAAAAAACACUGGUACCUGCCCUCUAUAAAGUUAUUCAGGAUUCGAAUAAUGAGCUCCUGGAGCCUGUCUGCCACCAGCUGUUUGAACUUUAUCGUAGCUCUGAAGUUCGACUUAAGAGAUUCACACUGCAAUUCUUGCCAGAAUUAAUGUGGGUUUAUUUACGGCUUACAGUUAGCCGAGACAGGCAGAGUAAUGGUUGCAUUGAAGCACUUCUGUUAGGAAUUUACAAUUUGGAAAUUGCUGAUAAAGAUGGAAACAAUAAAGUUCUGUCCUUUACUAUCCCUUCCUUAUCUAAGCCUUCAAUAUACCACGAGCCCUCAACAAUUGGAUCCAUGGCUUUGACAGAAGGGGCAUUGUGUCAGCAUGAUCUCAUCAGGGUUGUUUACAGUGAUCUUCAUCCUCAGAGGGAAACAUUCACCGCACAAAACAGGUUUGAGGUCCUGAGUUUUCUCAUGUUAUGUUAUAAUUCUGCUAUUGUGUACAUGCCUGCUUCAUCUUACCAGUCUCUCUGUCGAAUGGGCUCCAGGGUUUGUGUGAGUGGGUUUCCACGGCAACAUGAAAAACACUGGAAAGAACUCUGUGGUCGAAUAGUGUUGGAUCCCGAAUUUAUGGUGCAACUUCUCACAGGGGUUUAUUAUGCCAUGUAUAAUGGACAGUGGGACCUUGGCCAGGAAGUUCUUGAUGAUAUCAUUUAUAGAGCUCAGUUAGAACUCUUUUCUCAACCACUAUUGGUUGCCAAUGCCAUGAAAAACUCGUUACCAUUUGAUGCUCCCGAUUCUUCACAAGAAGGCCAGAAAGUACUUAAAGUCGAAGUCACUCCAACAGUGCCGAGGAUUUCUCGGACUGCGAUUACAACAGCUUCAAUCCGUCGCCAUAGAUGGAGGAGAGAAGAUGGCUUUGACUUCUCAAACGAGGCUGACUCGAGUAUUCCUGGCUCCCCGAUCCAACACGGCUCCACUGACCUAGGGAUCAAACGUGUGCAAGAGGGGGAGGUGCUGGUGCGCAGGACCCCUGAGCACGGCUCACCGGAGCCCAACUCAGCAGCAGCCACAACAGAGGGUGCUGAGGGUAUAAAUGGAGGAGAGGAGUUGGUAAACCUGAAUGAUGCAGACGAAGGAUUUUCAUCAGGGGCUUCCCUCAGCAGCCAGCCAGUUGGGACCAAGCCAUCUUCCUCUUCUCAGAGGGGAAGCUUAAGGAAAGUAGCAACUGGGCGUUCAGCCAAGGAUAAAGAAACAACCUCUGCCGUCAAAUCCACUGAGAGCCCUCGAGAUUCAGUAGUUCGCAGGCAGUAUGUACAGCAGCCAACUGAUCUUAGUGUAGAUUCAAUUGAGCUGACACCGAUGAAGAAACACCUGAGCCUUCCCGCUGGCCAGGUGGUGCCAAAAACUAAUAGUUUAAGUCUAAUCCGGACAGCCAGUGCUUCCUCAAGUAAAUCAUUUGACUAUGUAAAUGGCAGUCAAGCAAGUACCAGCAUUGGGGUUGGCACUGAGGGAGUCACUAAUUUAGCAGCUAACAAUGCUAAUCGAUAUUCAACUAUCAGUCUACAGGAAGACCGGCUAGGUCAAGCUGGAGAAGGCAAAGAGCUUCUCAGCCCAGGAGCUCCCUUAACCAAGCAGUCUCGAUCCCCAAGUUUCAAUAUGCAGCUAAUAUCCCAGGUGUAGUCUUGACAUCCUCUCUCAUCUUUCCGCUUACCUUUUAAACUGAACAUUUCAUUGUGAAGAAGACACUUCAUCCCACAUUGUGAAAAUAUUGGUCAUCUUAAACAGUUCUGAUUUAGUUUAGGUAUCUUCAUACUGUAUUUUGUAUGGAAACAGCAAUAAGGUUUUCUUUUCCCUUCUCCCUAUCAUCUUCUCUUCACCUAUUCCUUGUAAAUGUGUUUGUGAAGCAGUAUAAAAUGUUUGCGUUUUCCAUGCCUUCCUUUCUCCUUGGGUGAAGUGCAAUCCAUCGUAGGCUGAUCGGUCCCAUUUCAACACUGUGAGACUGAGGAUACGUUAGAGGAAAUGGUGUAUAUGAUCCCUAUGAAUGAUUCUUUGGCUUUCGUUUAAAAAAACAAAAAACAAAAAACGGGUUCUCAUAACCUAUAGAACUAUGAAGAUUACUGGAUCAUAUUUUUUCUGUCUUAACCAGGAGUGCCUCAGAGAUUCUGCUAUGACUUUGGACUUCUCUGAGUCUGUGCAAUCAUUUUCUUGAGAAGCAUGGGGAAAGGUGGUAGACGGCUGCACUUUUUCAUUAAAAUGAGGGUGGCUUUUUUCCUCCCAUCUCCUUUUUCUCGAGGACACAUAUGUUCAGUUACUGAGGCAUUUAAAUCAAGUUGUGGCCACCUCCUGUUGGAGGACAGGCGCUAAGCUGAUUGUGUAAUUGAUAAUGCACUUUCUCAAUGGCUCUUUAGUCAUUAUUAACAUGUCUUCCCUCCUCCCCACAAGGACAUAAGGUCAUUUCUGUCCUUCAAGUUGAACAGCUAAUAAAUCAGAGAAUCCAAGGGGCAUGUUCUAUUUCCCAGGAAUGAUUGACACUUUGGUGCUGGGGUUUUAUGGGGGGAGGGGGCAGUUUUUGUUUAGCUUGCGUGAGAUUGUGUGUGUGAGGGGGAGUUUCGAUUUUUUUCUUUUCUUUUGUGAGCUGAUGAUGACUGAAGUAGAACAAGUACGUCUUCAGGUAAAGAGAGGGAUUUCUCAACCCACUUUCUAUGAUGUCAGACUAUUGGAGAAACCCUUUCAGCUGCUUUCUAGAUGUACCUAAAUUCAGUCAGAUAUUUUGAAUUAAGAAACCUGAAGUCCUGAUAGAUCAUAUACUCCAAGGAAAUAUAUCAGGGACAGAUAAUUGGCUGAAAACACUGAUGCUUCAAUGUGACACAUUUUUAUAGAACAUUUCUACCAGGGGGUUCUGAUUUGAUUUCUCCUACAAUGAACCACACUGCCUUUGUGUUUAAUGUAAUGCAAUUUGUGUACCUUCUAAUCAUAUAUCUGCAAGUUUCUCAUUUUUAUAAAACUUUGAAAUCAUGCCAGUAAGCUAGAUGUUGAAUGUAUGUAAGUAGCAUUUGGUAACUGUGCUAAGAGGCUACAAAAAUGCAUUAUUGGUUUUUAAAAAAUUUUUCUUUUUAGUUCUGAUUUGGUUGGAUAGAAUUUCAUUAUGACCUCUUCUGGGUCUCAGGCUCUAAUGCUUGAUUGAAAGAGAAAAGAAUAUAUUGUUUUUUGAAAAUUAGUGUAUUGUGACUUGAACUGCUGUAUGUUCUUCCACACAAUAUGUCAGAGCUGUUAGUGCUUUGUACAUUUAGACAUUUUUAUUUUAUUACUGUGAAAGAAAAAUAUACUGACUAUAUAGAAAGCAAGUAUUCUCCUAAUUAACAAAGUUUAAAAUUUUAUCUCUACUGAUUAAAAUCACAAUAGAUUUUGAUAAAUAAAAUAACCAGAAAAAUGCCUCUUGUUUUUUUCACACCUAAAAACCCCCCUCCCCCCUUUUUUUAAUCGUAAGAGGUUUUUGGUUUUUUUGAGUUUUCUUAAGGGACUUUUCUGUUAGAAUCUUUAUAAGAACGGUGAGGUGCUUGUUUGAAUUUGGAGGUGUGUAAUGUUUUUCAGCUCAUAUGAAAAUGGAAAACUAGAACCUGAACUAUGAUCUACAGUGUUGCCAAAGUUGGGGGUAAAGCUAAAAAUAGAGAUUUAUUGAGGUGUGUAUGUGUGUAUGUGUGGUGUGUAUAUGUAUAUAUCAGAAAGACAUAUUUUAGAUAUCCCUUUUAAUUUAAUUAAGGGAUGUCAGAUAAAUGAACUAAAAACAGCCAAAUAAGGCGUAAACUCCUAUAAUAUAUAAGGAAAGCAAAGUUUCAGGUAUGAAGAGAAAAGAGCAUUGUACUUAGCAGGGCUGAGAUCUUGGCCAUGGCUGGAGAUCAGUCAGUUUAUGGUAGAAAUGUUUGAUUGAUUUAAGAGGUUGAAAUGUUCUUUUUAAUUCAAAAGGUUGUACAUUUAUUGGCAUCUAAAUCUAGCAUGAUUUUAGUUAAAGCACAAAAAAAUCCCAAAUGAUACCAAAUUAGAGCAAAAACUGUAAUAUGUAUAAUAAAAUCUCCCUCUGGUUUGUUAGAAAUAUUAUGUUAUACCUCAAAAGUUGAUUUUGAAAAACUUUCGUCUUAGAGCAUUUUAUUUAUCUAUAUGUAUAUUCUUAUACAUUUUGUGCAUAUCCAAACCUGUUAAUGUUUCAUGAUCCUGUAACACUUACGUUCCAUUCUUUUAAGUGUUGUAAUUUGGCCUUGAUGAAGAAACAUUUCAUUUAGUUCAGAGUUUGCAUUUGGGAUCCUAGAACAGAUUUCCUGUGCAAGGUGUAGUUAAGCUGAGUUAGUCAUAAACCAUAGUCGCAUUUUCUAAGAGAUUUUUUAUAUUCAUUUGCGUUAUUUAUUGGCAUCUAAUGUAAAAUAGUUUCCAGAUAUACAACAGCUGUUAAAAAUAUAUGCCAGCAGUAUUCAUGCUUUAACCUUUAACAGCCUUUUGUUUUUACACUUCUUAACUUCCAUUUUAAAAUCCUCUUCCUUCUAUGGACAAGCUAGUUAGGUAAAAAAUACUUGUUUUCUAUAAUAAAACAUUUUGAUGCCAUCUAUACCAGGUUGAAUUCAGAAAUACAGAGAAAUCUCUGAAAGUCCUGGGGACCCCUCUCUAUGACAUUAAUUUAAAAUCAUGUUACUAGAAUAUGUAUGUGUUCUAGAACAAACAAUGUGUAAGGUGGAAGCUAACUUAAAAGUAAUAUUUUUAAAUAUAAAAAUAUUUUGAGAAGCUGGGUGUUGGGGGGGUGAUGGUAUAAUUUGAAAUCCUGACCCCUACCAUCACUCUUAGCUUUCUGAUUACUCUCCUGUGCCUAUUAUUAGAGUUGGAAUUUUUGUACUAAAGAGGCCAUAGAGAUAAUCUAACCUGUCUCCCAACACCCACCCCUCCAUAUCCAUCCUCAGGAAACUGAGGCUAAGAAAGGUUGUAGCGUGAUCAAAGUCACAUAACUGAGAAGCAGAGCCAGACUCAAACUCCGUUCUCCUGUCAAAUGCAUAGUAACACCCCACUGCCUCGUCCCAUGGUUAAUGUGGUUGUAAUACUCGACACUUCUCUGCUUUCUUUACUGUUCUUCUGGUCUAGAGUUGGUGAAUGCAGCACAUUAAGAAAAGUAUUAAGUCCAGAAAAAAAGUGUAGAGUAAUAAACAUUGAUGGGGAAGUGUAGGUAAUGUAGGUAUCUAUACCACAGAUACAAGGAUAGAUACUUUUUCUUAUUCUAAUUUAUGCCUUACUAUUUUCUGCCACACAACAGUUGUAUGCUGCCAUUUUAUAGUUUAUUAUAUUUCUGGAGAUUUAUUUAAAUGAAAAAAUAAACCCAAUGAAAUGGCUUUGAUCAGUGUUUCUAUCUUAAAGUAGUUUUUGAAUCAGCCAGCUUUCGCAGUCACCUUGGUGACAAGUUAAUUGUAUUGCACAAUGGAGUUGCAAAGUAAAGAGUGCAAAAAUUUGAUUCCAUAAUUUCUAAUGUAAAAAGAUUGAACCUUGUGCUUAAAGCAGAUAGAUAAGAGCAAUAUUUCCUUACGUGGUUGAAAAAGGUUUAUAGUGAUUCUAUAAUGGAAUGGUGACCAUGUCAUUUAAAGUGUAUAUACAGUAUCAAAUGUCUUAAAUGCUGUAGUAGUCUCAGCUAUAUAAGCUCAAUAUUUCCAACCUAUAUUCUCAAAUUCCACUAGCUUUAAAUUAAUUAUUUAUUAGACACUGGAAUACUGAGAAUAACUUUCAGAUUGUUUUGUUUGCACUAUUUUUGUGAAUAUUUUAACGAAGUGGGGUGUUUUUCUUACCUCACUUUGUGAGGUUAAUAAUGAGUCCAUUUUUGAGUACUUUAGUUGUUGACAAUCAGUUGUCUUAUUCAUUCUCUGCAUGUUCAUUUGUAAAUAAAAAUAUUAGUAUCUGUCUUUAGUGGGUAGAAUACUAUUUAUACUAACACUGGCAUGGAGGAUCUUGGAUUACAAAGUAAAUUUUAUGUUACUGUUUUUUCAAAUCAGUAUUUCAGUUACAUACUUUUUUUUCAGUUUUAAAAUGUUCAGUAGGUCAUACCAGUGGUCAGAAAAUCUAUAAGAAUUUUAGAGCAACUUUUCUAUACUCUGGCUGUGUUAAAGUCUUAACAUGAGACUUUUUAUCUUUCAAGCUGAAUGAUUAUUGUCAUGUUUCAAACCACUAAGUUGGUUGAGACACUUAUUUGUAAUACUUUAAUUUUUAAGUGCUUUUUAGAAACAAGUUGUUUGGAAACCAGAUAGAAAUAUUUGAUAGCUUAAACUUUAAAUAUUAGAAUAUUUGCCAGAUUAUAAGAUAGAAUGUAGUAUAAAAUUGUUAACAGUGCUAAAAAAAAAAAAAUCGUGAGUCACCAGAUUGGUACAGUUUUCCAUUACCAAGGUGGUGGUUAUGUUGAUAAUGUAAGACAUAAAUUUUAGUAUUACAUGGGUUGUGUAGCUAAUGGGUAUAUCAUAUUGACAUACACAGAAAAUACUGUCUUUAUUCAUGGGGUCAACCAAUGUGCACUUAAACUAUAUUAGAUUUUUGGCAGUGCCAGAAAUUUGUGUGGUCGAACCCAUUAGAAUUAAAGGAGUCAUCAUCACCCAGUUUUCCCCUACACCUGGUGUAGGCACCUUUCCUUCUGAACCUGACCACGCAACCAUGGAAUUUUGGUUAACUUCAAUCUCUUCAGUAUUUUUAAGUCUUAGCCAUUAGCCACGUGAGAAACACACAAGAGCAAACAGGAUAGAAGUUAGCAGAAAGCUGGGAGGGAUGUGAGAUAACUGGCAGCAUAGUACAGGCAUGUAAGCCCUGUGUUUUGUUUUUGGAUUUUAAGAAAAUGUUUACAAAUAAAAGCACAUUCAGAUGUCUGCUAUUAUGUUUAAUAUGGAUUUUAUCCCCCCAAAUUAGACUUAGGUGUAGCUUAAAGUAUAAAUGAGUCUCUUUUUCAGAACUGUGUAUCUGUAGCUAGGUUUAAUAGAGAAGGUCUUUUUUUAUUUUCAAAGAAAAUGAACUUAAUUGGACAAUUCAUCCUCAACAGCAAGUUUUUUUUUUUUUUUCCUUUUACAGCUGCACCUGCGGCAUACGGAAGCUCCAGGACCAGGGGUUGAAUCGGAGCUGCAGCUAAGGCUUACGCCACAGCAACACCAGAUCCAAGCCACAUCAGCAAUCUACGCCACAGCUUACAGUGAUGCCAGAUCCUUAGCCCACUAAACAAGGCCAGAAAUGGAACCUACAUUGUCAUGGGGACAACGUCAUGUCCUUAAGCUGCUAAGCCAUAGCAGGAACUCCCCCAGCUGCAGAGUUGAUACCAGCCUGGUUUGCUGUAUUUGUCAACAGCACAGUGUUAAUUAUAAUAGGAAAUCCUUUACAUCUACAUCAAUUACAAAAUUUACCAAAGAAAAUGUAUCAACCAUAUGUAAAUUUUGAAAUACCUAACUGGAAGUUCACUGGUGUCACAGCAGGUUAAGAAUCCAGCACGCUCACUGCUGUGGCUUAGGUUGCUGCUGUGUCAUGGGUUUUAUUCCUGGCACCGGAAUUUCUGCAUGCUGCAAGUGCAGCCAUGAAGGGGGAAAAACCUGUCGUGGAAUGAGGCUCCUUUAACAUAAAGGAUUGCUUUCUAGCUCUGGGGGAAAUAAAUAUUAAAAGAUUCUUUCAUUUGGAACAGAUAUAUGGUACCUACAAGAUUCUAUGUGAGGCAUUCUUAUCAUGUUGGUAGAAUGUCAACAUUUAUACCAGUUAAGGGUUAAGUCCAAAUACUAUUUUACGGCACAUUUUCAUGUCUCCUUAAGUUAAGGAUUCUGCUCAUCAGUAUUAAACAUAAAAAGAGGGAGAGUCUUAGAAUUGGCAUAUUGUAUGAUAUUGUGACUUGUCAGAAAUAAAAUUGGUAAAUCAUGGAAAUGUAUGUUUUUAAGUGGGCAGUGUCAAAUAUUUCUAGUAUGAUUUUGCUAAAAGGGUAUACUUGUUUACAUGAUUUAUGAACACGAUUACUCUGGAUAUUCUUUGCAAAAAAACAUGAUUGGGUUAAAAGUUAAAAUACUCAUUUUUAAAUGAAUAGAUCCAUAAGAACUAAAAGAUUUACUUCAACUAUUAAAUAAUGACUUUUUUGAGAAAAUAUGAAAUGUAAUUGUGUAUUAGCCGAUGUUCCACACGGAUUCUGUGUAUAAUUUUUUUUUCCUUUCAGGCGGUAGUUAAAAAGUAAUGAAUGUAUUGAUCAGCUAUCUUGCAAAGUGAAGAAUGGCUUUCUAAUAAUUACUAAAGUAGGUUUUUGUGGGUUUAAGUUUUAUCAUCCAAGCUGAAUUGAGAGAGAUGCUUAAUGUUCCAUUUGCUGUUUUAAAAUAUUUGUAAUAAAUUCAUUAACUACAGUGAAUCUAAAAAUUAUGCUGUCUUUACAUUCAGUUUAACUAGUUAAGUGAAACAGUUUUUAUGGUUGCAAAGAUUAUUUUCCAACACUUUGUCAUAAUACUUUGGCUCACCUAAGCUACACUUUCUGAAGAGUUUUUACUACUGUAACAGUAUGUAGUCUGGUCUCUGUCGCAAUGGACAGGUAAACAGGAAAUAUCCCACUUUCAUAAUGUUUGCUUCAUAAAAAGAUACAGAAUGUAUCAGUUAGCGUUUCUUUUUUUUAAUUUUUUUUAUUUUAGAACCAGCAUCAACCUAUAGCUUGAUAUAAACUUCCCAAGUAUUCACAGAAUAGUGCUGGUUAAAACUUAAAUAGAAUAGAUAUGAAGAAAUGUGAUCUCUAUUGACAGAUGUCCUUUCAACCUAGGCCUAGUGAAAACUCUUUUUUCAGAGCUGAAGAAAAAAACAAACGCACAUUUAAGAUCAUAUUUAUUGGUGCAUGUAAGCCAUUAUCUUAACUGUCUUACUGAACUGGUUAAUACUGUUGAUGUCGAAAUGUGAAAUGUAGUCACUGUUGACCUUGUAAAUAUCUGCCAGAGAUGAAAAGAUAUUUUAAGUUAUUGUAAAUAAAGUAUAAAAUUCCUUAUCAGUCUGCAAUGCAGAAACAUAUCUAAGAUGUUAAAUAUUGUGUUUUUCGAGAGAUGUGUAAUUUUCCCUAGAUGUAUCUAGUUACCUUAAGAAUGUAAAUUUUCUUUUGUACAGUAUAAAAUACAGCUUUAUUUGGCUUUUAACUUGA